ACAGCAGUCGCCACGGUAAUACGAAGGGGGCUAGCGUUGUUCGGAUUUACUGGGCGUAAAGGGCGCGUAGGCGGGCUGAUAAGUCAGGGGUGAAAUCCCAAGGCUCAACCUUGGAACUGCCUUUGAUACUGUUUGUCUUGAGUUCGAGAGAGGUAAGUGGAACUGCGAGUGUAGAGGUGAAAUUCGUAGAUAUUCGCAAGAACACCAGUGGCGAAGGCGACUCUCUGGUCUGUAACUGACGCUGAGGAGCGAAAGCGUGGGGAGCGAACAGGAUUAGAUACCCGCGUAGUCCCUGUCUCUUAUAA
rnacentral:rRNA from 1 species